rnacentral:rRNA from 1 species
CUACGGGGCGCAGCAGUGAGGAAUAUUGCACAAUGGGGGGAACCCUGAUGCAGCAACGCCGCGUGGAGGAUGACGCAUUUCGGUGUGUAAACUCCUUUUAUAUGUCAAGAAAAUGACGGUAGCAUAUGAAUAAGCACCGGCUAACUCCGUGCCAGCAGCCGCGGUAAUACGGAGGGUGCAAGCGUUACUCGGAAUCACUGGGCGUAAAGGACGCGUAGGCGGGUUGGAAAGUCAGGUGUGAAAUCCUACAGCUUAACUGUAGAACUGCACUUGAAACUUCUAAUCUAGAGUAUGGGAGGGGGAGGUGGAAUUAGUGGUGUAGGGGUAACAUCCGUAGAGAUCACUAGGAAUACCUAAAGCGAAGGCGAUCUCCUGGAACAUUACUGACGCUAAGGCGUGAAAGCGUGGGGAGCAAACAGGAUUAGAUACCCGCGUAGUC